GACGAACGCUGGCGGCGUGCUUAACACAUGCAAGUCGAACGGAAAGGCCCUGCUUUUGUGGGGUGCUCGAGUGGCGAACGGGUGAGUAACACGUGAGUAACCUGCCCUUGACUUUGGGAUAACUUCAGGAAACUGGGGCUAAUACCGGAUAGGAGCUCCUGCUGCAUGGUGGGGGUUGGAAAGUUUCGGCGGGUGGGGAUGGACUCGCGGCUUAUCAGCUUGUUGGUGGGGUAGUGGCUUACCAAGGCUUUGACGGGUAGCCGGCCUGAGAGGGUGGCCGGCCACAUUGGGACUGAGAUACGGCCCAGACUCCUACGGGAGGCAGCAGUGGGGAAUAUUGCACAAUGGGCGGAAGCCUGAUGCAGCAACGCCGCGUGCGGGAUGACGGCCUUCGGGUUGUAAACCGCUUUCGCCUGUGACGAAGCGUGAGUGACGGUAAUGGGUAAAGAAGCACCGGCUAACUACGUG
rnacentral:rRNA from 1 species